GGAAGGGGUGUAUUUAUUAGAUUAAAAACCAAUGCCCUCUGGGCUCUUUGGUGAUUCAUGAUAACUUCUCGAAUCGCACGGCCUUGCGCCGGCGAUGGUUCAUUCAAAUUUCUUCCCUAUCAACUUUCGAUGUUUGGGUAUUGGCCAAACAUGGUUGCAACGGGUAACGGAGGGUUAGGGCUCGACCCCGGAGAAGGAGCCUGAGAAACGGCUACUACAUCCAAGGAAGGCAGCAGGCGCGCAGAUUACCCAAUCCCGACACGGGGAGGUAGUGACAAUAAAUACUGAUACAGGGCUCUUUUGGGUCUUGUAAUUGGAAUGAGUACAAUUUAAAUCCCUUAACGAGGAACAAUUGGAGGGCAAGUCUGGUGCCAGCAGCCGCGGUAAUUCCAGCUCCAAUAGUGUAUAUUAAAGUUGUUGUGGUUAAAAAGCUCGUAGUUGAACCUUGGGCCUGGCUGGCCGGUCCGCCUCACCGCGUGUACUGGUCCGGCCGGGCCUUUCCCUCUGUGGAACCUCAUGCCCUUCACUGGGUGUGACGGGGAACCAGGACUUUUAC
rnacentral:rRNA from 1 species